CCCUUAGAUGUUCUGGGCCGCACGCGCGCUACACUGAUUCAUGCAACAAGUUUUGUCCUUGGCUGAUAGGCCUGGGUAAUCUUUGAACGUGAAUCGUGAUGGGGAUAGAUGAUUGCAAUUAUUCAUCUUCAACGAGGAAUUCCUAGUAAACGCAAGUCAUCAGCUUGCAUUGAUUACGUCCCUGCCCUUUGUACACACCGCCCAUCGCACCUACCGAUUGAAUGGUCCGGUGAAAUCUUCGGAUCUGAGAGAUGUCUGAUUAAUUUCGGACGCCUUUUGGAAAAGUUGCUUAAACCUUACCAUUUAGAGGAAGGUGAAGUCGUAACA
rnacentral:rRNA from 1 species